rnacentral:rRNA from 1 species
GUGGGGAAUAUUGGACAAUGGGCGCAAGCCUGAUCCAGCAAUGCCGCGUGCAGGAAGAAGGCCUUCGGGUUGUAAACUGCUUUUGUACGGAACGAAACGGUCCGGGUUAAUACCCUGGGCUAAUGACGGUACCGUAAGAAUAAGCACCGGCUAACUACGUGCCAGCAGCCGCGGUAAUACGUAGGGUGCAAGCGUUAAUCGGAAUUACUGGGCGUAAAGCGUGCGCAGGCGGUUUUGUAAGACAGGCGUGAAAUCCCCGGGCUCAACCUGGGAAUUGCGCUUGUGACUGCAAGGCUGGAGUGCGGCAGAGGGGGAUGGAAUUCCGCGUGUAGCAGUGAAAUGCGUAGAUAUGCGGAGGAACACCGAUGGCGAAGGCAAUCCCCUGGGCCUGCACUGACGCUCAUGCACGAAAGCGUGGGGAGCAAACAGGAUUAGAAACCCUUGUAGUCC